AGCUGGCGACACUUUGAGUAUUGCCGCCAUGUCAGACAAGAAGGAUCAGGAGAACCUGCAGUCUGUGGUGAAGAACUCAGUUGUUCCCUCCGAUAGAAGCUGCACAGAGCUGAAGUCCACCAUGCUGAAAUGCAUCGCAGAAAAAGGGGAGGAAAACUGCAAAGAGGCAACUGAAGCCUACAAGAGCUGUAUGAAAACAUUAGGAUUUAAAGUUUAGCAACGACUGCACUGAUCCAUCAUCUCUGGAAUGCCUGAUAUCUCUCCCCCUCCUUCUUCCAGAACUUCUCAACUGCUUGGUAAAUAAACCACAGCAGAACCAUCA